rnacentral:rRNA from 1 species
UCCGUAGGGGGCAAGCGUUGUCCGGAAUCAUUGGGCGUAAAGCGCGUGUAGGCGGUUAGGUAAGUCUGCUGUGAAAGUCCAGGGCUCAACCCUGGGAUGCCGGUGGAUACUGUCGGACUAGAGUACGGAAGAGGCGAGUGGAAUUCCCGGUGUAGCGGUGAAAUGCGCAGAUAUCGGGAGGAACACCAAUUGCGAAGGCAGCUCGCUGGGACGUCACUGACGCUGAGACGCGAAAGCGUGGGGAGCAAACAGG